rnacentral:misc_RNA from 1 species
UCCGGUUUGUCACCUCCGUUUCGGGAGGCUAAUCCGUGCAUUUCAAACCCUGGUAAGGUUCUGCGCGUUGCUUCGAAUUAAACCACAUGCUCCACCGCUUGUGUGAGCCCCCGUCAAUUCCUUUGAGUUUCAGCCUUGCGGCCGUACUCCCCAGGCGGGGCACUUAUCGCAUUCGUUUCGACAGUGACGGCAUCGGACCUCCACUGCCUAGUGCCCAUCGUUUACAGCUAGGACUAC